CCCUUAGAUGUUCUGGGCCGCACACGCGCUACACUGAAGGAGGCAGCGUGUACUCCUUGAUCGAAAGAUUUGGGUAACCCGCGAAUCUCCUUCGUGCUAGGGAUUGAGGUUUGCAAUUAUCCUUCAUGAACGAGGAAUUCCCAGUAAGUGCAAGUCAUAAGCUUGCGCUGACUACGUCCCUGCCCUUUGUACACACCGCCCGUCGCUACUACCGAUUGAAUGAUUUAGUGAGGACUUCGGACUGGGACCGAUGCGGCUUUCGGGCUGCGUCGGUAUUCUGGAAAGAUGUCCAAACUGUAUCAUUUAGAGGAAGUAAAAGUCGUAACA
rnacentral:rRNA from 1 species